GACGAACGCUGGCGGCGUGCUUAACACAUGCAAGUCGAACGGAAAGGCCCUGCUUUUGUGGGGUGCUCGAGUGGCGAACGGGUGAGUAACACGUGAGUAACCUGCCCUUACCUUUGGAUUACUUUAGGGAACCUGGGCCUAUACCGGAAAAGAACCUCCGCCGCAAUGGGGGGGGUGGGAAGGUUCGGCGGUUGGGGAUGGACUCGCGGCUUAUCAGCUUGUUGGUGGGGUAGUGGCUUACCAAGGCUUUGACGGGUAGCCGGCCUGAGAGGGUGACCGGCCACAUUGGGACUGAGAUACGGCCCAGACUCCUACGGGAGGCAGCAGUGGGGAAUAUUGCACAAUGGGCGGAAGCCUGAUGCAGCAACGCCGCGUGCGGGAUGACGGCCUUCGGGUUGUAAACCGCUUUCGCCUGUGACGAAGCGUGAGUGACGGUAAUGGGUAAAGAAGCACCGGCUAACUACGUG
rnacentral:rRNA from 1 species